rnacentral:rRNA from 1 species
UCCUUCUUUUUCCCUCUUUCCUCUUCCUUCCUUUUCUUAAAUCUUUCUCAUUCGGUUAUGUAAGACAGAUGUGAAAUGCCCGGGCUUAACCUGGGAACUGCAUUUGUGACUGCAUGGCUAGAGUUUGGCAGAGGGGGGUAGAAUUCCACGUGUAGCAGUGAAAUGCGUAGAUAUGUGGAGGAACACCGAUGGCGAAGGCAGCCCCCUGGGUCAAGACUGACGCUCAUGCACGAAAGCGUGGGGAGCAAACAGG